AUUGAACGCUGGCGGCAGGCCUAACACAUGCAAGUCGAGCGGAUGAAGGGAGCUUGCGCCUGGAUUCAGCGGCGGACGGGUGAGUAAUGCCUAGGAAUCUGCCGGGUAGUGGGGGAUAACGUCCGGAAACGGGCGCUAAUACCGCAUACGUCCUGAGGGAGAAAGUGGGGGAGCUUCGGACCGCACGCUAUCAGAGGAGCCUAGGUCGGAUUAGCUAGUUGGUGGGGUAAGGGCCUACCAAGGCGGCGAUCCGUAACUGGACUGAGAGGAUGAGCAGCCACCUUAGAACUUAGCCAGCGACAUGGGUCCUACGGUACGCCGCAGUGGCCAACAGUGGGCAGUAGGGGGGAGUAUUGCACAGCGGUGCCGCGUCUGUUACGGCAGCCCUCCGAUCGUAAAGCCCGUUAACUUGUGGGGAACCGCAGUAACUUAAUACGUUGCUGUUUUGACGUUACCAACAGAAUAAGCACCGGCUAACUUCGUG
rnacentral:rRNA from 1 species